rnacentral:rRNA from 1 species
UACGUAGGGGGGCAAGCGUUGUCCGGAUUUAUUGGGCGUAAAGAGCGUGUAGGCGGUCAGGUAGGUCCGUUGUGAAAACUCGAGGCUCAACCUCGAGACGCCGAUGGAAACCAUCUGACUAGAGUCCGGAAGAGGAGAGUGGAAUUCCUGGUGUAGCGGUGAAAUGCGCAGAUAUCAGGAAGAACACCCGUGGCUAAGGCGGCUCUCUAGUACGGUACUGACGCUGAGACGCGAAAGCGUGGGGAGCGAAACAGG